GAGGAAAAUAGGAUCUUUUUGGUAUUGGACUACGGUUAUGAGUAAUACAUUCAUUCCUUUUCACCUUUAGUUAAUGACGAUUUGUGGUUAAUUGGAGGCAUGGCAAGCUAACAGGAGGGGUCUUCUUUCAAAUUUAAUUAACAUAAUUCAAAUCUAUCCAUAAAAAGAGGCAAGAUUUUGUAUAUAAUUUUGAUAAAAUCUUGUCUGUGAUAUGCAAAAAAAACAAAAAAGAAUAGGUCUCUCUCUUCAUAAUUUAUUCCUUACCCUAUCAAGUAUUUUAUUUAUGGUGUGCUUCUCUUAAUAACAACCAGUUUUUUCUAUUACAUUCCGCGGGAAGACAAGGUCCUAAGGAACUCAGAAUAAAGAGAUUCAAAGUAGAAGGGAAUGACUUUGACAGCAAAGGAAAGAAGAUAUCCACAUUGUUUAUACAAUUAGGGGUAAAAAUGGAUUGAAUAAAAACCAGUCGAAUUUAUUUUUGUAUUUGAAUUUAUCAAGAUAUAAAUAAAAAUUCGAGCAUUCGAUUAAUAUUUGUAUUUAUAUUAUAUUUGUCAAAGAAAAAGCACCCGAUUCAUCUCUAAAUAUUCAAUUGUAUUUGUAACUCUAUUUAGUUUUAUAUAAUAUUCAUAAACUUCUAAAAGAAAUAAAUAACCAUAUUAAUACGAUAUUAACUUAGUUUAUUAUCUACUUAGUAAUAUUUUUAAUUAUAUAAUCAUAAAGUUUAA
rnacentral:lncRNA from 1 species